GAUAAGCCACUUCUUACACAGGUUUGCCAUGUUUGAUUCUUUGAUUUCAAUUUCUAUAAUUUACAUGAACAAAUAUGCCCUUCUGUGAUAAUUGUUUAGAUUAACUAUGGUUUUUAAGUCCUGAUUAAUAAGUAAAUGUAAUUGUUUACAUUCUUUUUAAGAGAACAUUUAUGUUAAAGUUAAUCCUGUUUCAAGUUUUAUUUUGAAGUUAUCAAACUUUCAAUUGAUGUCGCAAAGGUUGUAGGCAUGAACCACCAGU
rnacentral:misc_RNA from 1 species